rnacentral:lncRNA from 1 species
AGUAAUUAUGAAACAGAGAGUGAUAGUGCAGGAAGACUAUGACAUUUUUCACUUUGGGAAUCUCUCACAACACCUUGGGAUAAAGGUGAAGUUAGGAAAGUUCAGCCGAUAUUUUCCACAUGGUAAAUAUUUUCACUUAUAUGUAGACAUGUUCAAGUUGGCUACAGCAAAGAGAAAGAUGCCAUCCUCUGUGUGCAGUGCAGAUUGUGGUCCUGGAUUCAGAAUAUCCUAGAAAGUCAGAGUGGCAACCUACUGUUUCAUUUUCAGCCUCUGCCCUUAAAUUGAAAUUUUUAAUGAGAC